UAACUCACAGGUCAAGGCAGUCUCCCU
rnacentral:piRNA from 1 species